rnacentral:rRNA from 1 species
AGGAUUAGAUACCCUAGUAUAUAAUUUUGUAAAAUUAGUAAAUGUGAAAAUUAAAAAUUUUGGCGGUUAAUUUAUAGUUUGGAGGAGCUUGUUUGUGUUAAGAAUUUACUCUUUAUAUUUAAUUGUAUUAUUUAGUUUAUUCAUUUCUGUUAUUAAAUGAAAUUGAAGAUAGUAGGCUAUAUAAUUCAGGUCAAUAUGUAGCAUAAUACUAUAAUAAUUAGCUACAAUUAUGGGAGAAUGGACUUAGAUUUGUAUUUUUUAAUUAAAUUGAAUUUAGAUGUAAUAGUAUUUAAUAUGAUAUUAUGAUUUUAUAUAUUUAAUGUAUAUAUUGCCCGUCACUUCUAUAUUUAGCAUAGAAUAAGUCGUAACAAAGUA